UCUCGACCAACCUUAAUAAUCUCCAACUAAAUAUUAUUAACUCCACACAUAUCCCUUCCCAAAGUUUCAGUCUUUUAUCAACACCGUUUUCUUUACUUCCAGUGCAGUUUUCUUUACAGGUAAAUUCUUUGAAUACUAAAAUCUCCAUACUUUGAUUCCAUAACAUAAAUUCUUGACAUCACCGUGUGAAGGAGAAACCGGGAGAAUUUUGAGUUUCAAUACCUUCUGUUUGUUUCCUAAAGCUGAACAUGGAUUUAAUGGCUAUGGCGGAUGGUUUAGAAAAAAAAAUGGGGGUACAGUCGUACCCCCUUGUUCUAAGCUGCGUCCGCCACUAUGUGAGACAGAGGCGCUACCCACGGACAACAACGAUGGAUGCCUGGAGUUUCAGAUUUUGGGAAGCGGCGGCGAAUUUCAGUGGCUAUGGGCGGCGAUUACAAGAGUGAGAGAGAGAGAGAGUUGUGACUAGAGUAGGAAUUUUGUGCUAUUGUGAAGUGAGAUUUGAAAAGGUGAGGUCUCCUGUCUUUGGAAGAAAAAUUGAGGGAGGGAGAGACGUGAGUUGUAACGAGGGAGAAAGACGUUCUGUUGAAAUCUAUUCCUAUUAUUUUCGAUAUAUGGUCAAGUUGUGUUUUAUUA